rnacentral:rRNA from 1 species
UACGUAGGUGGCAAGCGUUGUCCGGAAUUAUUGGGCGUAAAGCGCGCGCAGGUGGUUCUUUAAGUCUGAUGUGAAAGCCCACGGCUCAACCGUGGAGGGUCAUUGGAAACUGGGGGACUUGAGUACAGAAGAGAAGAGUGGAAUUCCACGUGUAGCGGUGAAAUGCGUAGAGAUGUGGAAGAACACCAGUGGCGAAGGCGGCCCGCUGGGGCAGUGGCUGACGCUGAGGCGCGACAGCGUGGGGAGCAAACAGG